rnacentral:misc_RNA from 1 species
UUAUAAGAAUUUGCUUUCUCAUUGCUCAGACGGUUCAAUAUUUUCAUGGUAGUGUUUUUCGGAGCUACCGGCAGGCUAACAGCUCGAGAGCAGGCUGCCGAAGCAACGGGUAGUUUCACAGAGGGUAGACCGUUCACCCUGGGCCUUUCGGCUGUCGGGUUGAAGGUUGGAAACUCUUUCGAGUCUCCAGCCCACCGAAGGGCUUUGAUUUUUAAUGAUCCUUCCGCAGGUUCACCUACGGAAA